rnacentral:rRNA from 1 species
AACUUUCAGCAACGGAUCUCUUGGCUCUCGCAUCGAUGAAGAACGCAGCGAAAUGCGAUAAGUAAUGUGAAUUGCAGAAUUCAGUGAAUCAUCGAAUCUUUGAACUCACCUUGCGCUCCUUGGUAUUCCGAGGAGCAUGCCUGUUUGAGUGUCAUUA